UACGUAGGGUGCGAGCGUUGUCCGGAAUUAUUGGGGCGUAAAGGGCUCGUAGGCGGUUUUGUCGCGUCGGGAGUGAAAUCCUACGGCUUAACUGUGGGCUUGCUUUCGAUACGGGCAGACUAGAGGUAUGCAGGGGAGAACGGAAUUCCUGGUGUAGCGGUGAAAUGCGCAGAUAUCAGGAGGAACACCGGUGGCGAAGGCGGUUCUCUGGGCAUGAUCUGACGCUGAGGAGCGAAAGUGUGGGGAGCGAACAGG
rnacentral:rRNA from 1 species